rnacentral:rRNA from 1 species
UACGGGGGGGAGCAAGCGUUGUCCGGAAUUAUUGGGCGUAAAGAGCUCGUAGGCGGCUUGUCACGUCGAUUGUGAAAGCCCGAGGCUUAACCUCGGGUCUGCAGUCGAUACGGGCUAGCUAGAGUGUGGUAGGGGAGAUCGGAAUUCCUGGUGUAGCGGUGAAAUGCGCAGAUAUCAGGAGGAACACCGGUGGCGAAGGCGGGUCUCUGGGCCGAUACUGACGCUGAGGAGCGAAAGCGUGGGGAGCAAACAGG